GGCCUUGUAGAAGAAACACAUCUGAACGAAGAGGGAAGAAGCAAUUGAUGCUGCUCUUGCCGCAGGACAGCGCACUGCACAUAUGAAGCUCCUCGCACAGCCGCUUAUGCGCAGGGGAAGACGAAGGGGGCGGAGCUGCUCGCGCGCCGGAGAUGGACGGGCGUAUUCGGAGGAGGGUUGAUUUCUGAGCCUCAGCGCUGCGGUCACGGGCGGUACUCCUCGCGCCGCCAGCAAACAGGAGAUGGUAGAGAUGGCGCCUCGGACUCUCGGAGCGGUAACGUGAACUGAUAACAAUGGUGGACGGGGGAACCAGAUAUGAAUACCGCAGUAUCCGAUUACAGGUACCUGAUUACUGACUACAUCAACCAAACGUGUUUAACCGGACUUGUUACCGGCCGUAAUCUGAUUACCUUGCAAAAUAACGAACCAAACGCAAUCUUAGCUCCAAGCAUUGGUCAAAGCAAAGAAACAACCUUUUAGCACCCGUAGCACUUCUAUAGAGAUUUCAGGUGUCUGAGAAUUUGCUUAUGCGUCAGUCGAUGUUGUGAGCUGUCCGAUCGGCAACGGACGCAAGAGAUCGCAAUUAGCUGUCCGAUGUUGUGCCGGUUUGCUGUUAUCGGGUCUGCUUGUGAGUCGAGUUGUGCCCGUUUGCUGCUCUGUUGUUCGUGUUCCCCUGUUCGCCUCCAUGGACUCCAUCUCGAUCUUGAAGACAUCUCAAUGCCGUUCAUCUCGGCGGCGGAUCUGAUCUGAGCAAACAGAGCAGACCAGGACAUCCCUUCUUUGUAGUACUUGAGCAGUUUCAAGUGAAGCAAGUGGGGAGAAGCGUCUACUGUCAGCCUUCCCACUAGAUGUUGCUCUGUGUAAGAGGAUGGAUAGUGAAAGAUAGAUCAAUAGACGAUGAGGAAGGGAGGUGAGGCUGCUAGUUUAUUAUACAUCACCUGUGCACAUUGUUGCAGCCUAUGAGCAUGAACAUUUGCAAAUUCUUGUGAUCAUAUCACGCCCAUUUCUGAAGAUGUGAGUGUAAAUGUUGUUUCACGAGUACAUUUAACAAUAUAGGCUAGACUGAUUCGUGCAUGUGAAUGUUAAGAGUUCAGAUUAAUUUGUGUCUAGUGUGAUACAGAAAUUAUCUUUGAUCUUUCCUUUAUUUCAAGUUUAUGCCAGAUACAUACAGUUUCGAGUUCUUGUCAGAACAUUUUGUCGAUGGGCCUGUUUGUUUUACUUCCCAGGGAGUCGAGCUAAAAUUUUGUGUUGGGGGCAUGAAUCAAGCAGGUCACAAAUUUGGGGUUGGCUAUACAUCUUACCUUUGUUUCUGAGAAAAGUUAUGUUCUGUUCCUUUGCCUCCAUUUCGUGAGUAACAACUCUCAAGAUUUAUUUCAUUUAAAAUGUAAGUCAUACUUGUUAAGCGCCCCAACCUACUGACUGGACAAUAUCUGCUUGCGUAUCUCAGAUUUGGCUAUGACUAAGAAAGUAUGAAGCUAUUUCUGUUCUAAUUAGGUGAAAUAUCAUUUAUUUUUGUGAUUUUGAAUGAAGAAAAAUAAUUUAAUAUAAGUGUGUACUUUUUUUACUUAUGAAGUACUUGGUAAUUUCCAUGCUUAUGUAGUUUUUACAUAAAUGGUUGCUAUACAAGGUAUGCCUGCCUGUGCUUUUGCUUGCCAUGGCCUUGGCUAACAAGGUAUGGACUCAAUAUGCUUUUAUCACUGCUAUACUUGUAUGUAGAGGAGCUGAGGAUUUCUGGGAGGGAGAACUCAGGUAGGAACUACUUUUUUGUGUCAUUUCUCUGAUCUGUCCAUUUGCUUUUGUUUUUAUCCAUGUGUCUGUAAAUUGCAUGCCUCUCUGUAUGGAUACAUUUUUAUCUUUUUUGGAUCAGUGACAUUAUGUUAACUUCUCUCUAUAUGAUUUGGAUUCUUUUGAUUCCCUUUUCUGUAUAUCAGUUAACCAAGUUACACAAUUAGAUAACUAAAUUUACAAGAUUAUCAUUCUAGGCAAUUUAAGGGCAUGUAUGGUGCAUCUUUUGUCUAAACAUGUGUAACUAGUACAUCAUCCAUCGUCAAAAGUAGCAUGUAAAUAGUAGAUUAAUGCUGAAAUUGAGCACAACUACCUUGAUAAUUUUCUAGAUGUUGGCUGCUCAAGAUGUUUCCUGGGAAAGUAGUAGCUCUCUAUUUUUCUGUAUAUGCUCUAAAUUUUUAGAUCUUCUUUUUUGAAAACACAUUACAAGUACAAACGUGUUCUUUAGAGGUUUGUCUAAUUCAGUUGUGCAUCAAAUAAACAGCUCAUGAGACUCAUUUUCAUGUUUCUCCCCAUUUCACAUGAAACUGAAAGGUGCCAUCGGUCGGUAGAUAGCUUCUGCCCAAUCACAGUCACCUCCUUCGUUGUCAAAGUACUUGUAAUUGGCGAAGGUGAGCUCUGACUCUGGUGUACAGAAGAUCCGAAAUUAAUUGGAAGGGGUCGAUGGAGACAUACAAUAAUUGGUCUGCGUUGCCGGGUCAGUGCUUCGUCGGUUGCCAUUGGCUAAGGUAGAGCGGCAAAAGGUCCGCCCGUGGAUGGCGUUCUGUGCCUUGUGAACCUCCUCUGCAGGAAGUUCCAACAAGGGAUCGAUCCAUCAUUGCUGAAAGUAUGUGCGUGCCUGAGCAUCCGAGUUUCUAGUAGAGGGUAUCCCCUUGUAUGAAAAUACACAGCAUUGAGUAUGAAUGAAAAUAUAAAAUGAAAUACCAGCAGCCACAAUUGCUUAAA